rnacentral:rRNA from 1 species
AGAUUAAGUUAUUAAGGGCGCACGGUGGAUGCCUUGGCACUAGAAGCCGAUGAAGGACGUUACUAACGACGAUAUGCUUUGGAUAGCUGUAAGUAAGCGUUGAUCCAGAGAUUUCCGAAUGGGGGAACCCAACAUGAGUUAUGUCAUGUUAUCGACAUGUG